rnacentral:rRNA from 1 species
GAGGGAAAGUUGAAAAGAACUUUGAAGAGAGAGUUCAAUAGUACGUGAAACCGUUCAGGGGUAAACCUGAGAAACCCAAAAGAUCGAAUGGGGAGAUUCAUCGUCAGCUGCUUUGGCUUGCGUGCGGGCACGAUGAUCGGGGCUUCGGUUCCGUGUCACGCGCUCGCUGCGCCAUGUCCGAGGUGGUCGGCGUGCACUUCUCCCCUAGUAGGACGUCGCGACCCGUUGGGUGCUGGUCUACGGCUCGGUUGUAAGUCUGACGUUGUCUAGUUUAUGCGUGUCACGCGUUAGACAACUGAAUGCCUGACCGGCUGCCCGGCGGUAUUGAACGAUAAUUAAACGGAAUUGGGCCGAAUCAAGUGCUUACAGGCCCUUUGGCAGGCUUGCCUCGCUCGGAUUUACGGACCUAAGGCCAUUGCCCGGUGCUUGGUAAAUUGUUAUACUGAAGUGGUCCUCGGACUGGCUCUUUAUAUUCGAACUGAUAUACCGGUCGGCGACGCUACUGCUUAGGGUACUUUCAGGACCAGUCU